UACGUAGGAUCCGAGCGUUGUCCGGAAUUACUGGGCAUAAAGGGAGCGUAGGCGGUUUUGUGCGUCAGAGGUGAAAUCCCACGGCUUAACCGUGGAACUGCCUUUGAUACGGCAAAACUUGAGUAUGAGAGAGGCGAGUAGAAUUCCAGGUGUAGCGGUGAAAUGCGUAGAUAUCUGGAGGAAUACCAGUGGAGAAGUCGGCUCGCUGGCUCAUAACUGACGCUGAGGCUCGAAAGCGUGGGGAUCAAACAGG
rnacentral:rRNA from 1 species